CCUGAUCCCAAUGUUGUUGUCCUUGUCUCGUUUGAAACUUAGGCUUCUGACUCUAUCCUUGGAAAGUUAUUUUCUUAUCAUUUCUAGGCCAAUGCUGUCCUUGACCUUGCCUAAACUAUAGUCGAGCAUCUUGAGCAUGACUAAUUCUUUGUUUGGCUUGUUUUGCAACUAAUGCCCUCUCUGUAAUUUGAGAAUAUGACACAUCUUAGAUUCCAGUCAUGCUUACGUCUCUAUAUAGUUCUGGUCUUA
rnacentral:lncRNA from 1 species